GGCUUUAAUUGUCGUGAUUAUCCUGAAAAAUGAAUGCUUGCUUACAGAAGAAAGCUAUUAUUACAGCACUCUUGGUCAGCUGAGGUCACAGUGUGGGAGGAUUCUGAGUCGAGGCAAUUGCAAGCAUAGUGAGAAGGGAGGGAGAGUCCACUGUGUAUUGUGCAAGAUUGAGUACAUCUGUCCUGCACUUUCCAACCAACAAUAAAAUAGGAGAAUGAACUGCUUCUAAAGAUCAAAAAUAACUACCGAAAUGUCAGAACUUCUGCUGGGAUGCAAACUGUGAUUGAUGAGGAUUAUUUGUAGAGAAAGUUGAGAUGCCAAUGGGAAAGAGAAUCUGUACUGGUACCAACAGUGACCCAAUGAAUGAGGAGCCUAUCACUGCAAAGUCAUCUGCAAAAAACUACUGAUUCUGCCAGAGGAGAAUUCUCAUUGGGAAGCUGAGGGUCCCAUCAGUACUUCUUUCUAUCACUUUAGAAAUUUUACUAUGAAGACUAAAACAUCUACAAAGGUUCUUCAUUUUUCAAGCUCAGCAAGGUGAUUGAGGCUCAGGAGACUGUUAGAACCCUACAGGGAAAGAGGAUUCUGCAUCCACGUAAGGCAACUUUUUAUCGCAAAAAGCUCUACAAUGUGUGCCAAGCCAGAAGUCUGGAAGAGCUUCAUGCAGUGCUGCUGUACUUUGACGUUCACAGGAAUGAGCAAAUGUGGGGAAAAGAAGCCCUGCACUAGAAAUUGAACUUGUGAAGUCUCAAAAUACUGACAGCGCUCUGAGCCGGUGACUCUGCCUUCAUCCACACAAAUUUGAAAGUUGAGGGGUAAACUCAAAUAUUGUUCUUGAAGGCUGCUUAUAAGUCUCAGAGAGAAAGCAAGCUUCUACAGGGCUGGGAAUGUGUAAAUCUUCAGUAUCAGGCAAUGUGAGAGGGCAUAUUUCGGAACGGUUUUGGAAAGCUAAGUUUUGCAAUCUAAAAUAAAGACUAAUCCUUUAGUCUCGUCUUUAGGCUAAGAAUUAAGGACCUAGUUUCACCUCAGUACACUUUCAGAGAGUAAACAGGGAAGGAAAAUAUGAUUCUGUCCUGAAGAUUAUCACGUAUUUAGGCAUUUUAUGUCUCAGCACUGCAAACAUUUAAAGAAGGAAUCCACAAACUGCAAUAAUUUAACACUUGGUAAAGUCCCUGCAAGAUUGGACCAUUACUCAGGAAAAUAAUGGGGCCAAAAGUGUUAAAUAUGCAUUCAAAUGUAGAAGCAAGUGCAUCUUUUUAGGUAGUUUUAAGUGUAGUAGUGCUCCUGAAAACCAUCAAACCCUUCUGUGAUUAGAUAAACAAAUCACAGCAGGUCACUCGGAGCCAUAAGAGAUGUGCAAUCGCAAUUAAACGAAGCCAGAAAGAAAUUGAGAGAAUGCACUGACUAGAUAAUGUGCAGCGAUAUAAAAUAUACGAACGCAGAAGUUAAUGCAUCACCUUUUAAACCAAGGGAAUAGGUUGAUAAGAUGUGAGUGAAAAUCCUGGGAAAUCUCUCAUGAAAAACAAUAUCUGAUCCAUUUAUCUCACAAUCAAGGGUGGCAAAAUCUUUUUCUUCACUCUGAGACAGAAAGCAUUAGCUGAGGUUUAUAAAAGCUUCUUAGCUGGAAAUCUGACCAGUCUUGAAGAGGCUGUUAAAUGAAGAUUACUGUAAACUGUGCUUCAAACUGUGUGAAAUCAUGGGAGGCAAUUUUGAUUGCUCUCAACAGAAAGAAAUUCCACAGGGAGUGCAAAGGGAAGAAGCUGGAUUUGUCCCAGGGCCAGGAAGCAAAGCACUGAUUCCCAAGCAGCUGCUGCAACCCAAACACCCAAAUGUUCUGCUGUUAAAGUCCACCCAAGCCCUAAUGCUGGUAUUUUUAAUUGGGAAGGUGCAAUACUGGAGACUCUGGGUGCAGUCUUCCUGCUUGUAACCCCUCCUUCAGGGUGCAUGGAUCUGAUGGAUCAGCAUAACUCACACUAAGGUCAUUGUUUUGAGAGUGGUUUGAACCUCAAGAUAAAUCAUCCAGCAUCAUAACAUAUUUAGAACUAGUCCUUGUACUGGGGAAGACAAUCACCUCUCAGAUAUAUUCCUCUUACCACAAGAUUCAGAGAUAUUUUCCAUUUACCCUAAAAAAUCAGAACAAACUUAGUAACAACAAUCUAGACAAAAAAAUCAAAUAGGGAAGGUGAGCACUGUGAAAUUACAGAGCACAGGAAUCUUUUAGGAGAAAUUAUAGUGCAGGAAAAUAGCAGAAUAAUGUUAUUGAACACAAGCUUUUAUUUUAAACUAUAACUAAUAAUGUUUGUGCUGGGAUUGUUUUUUAAUUAUAGCCCUAGUACAAGCACAUAAUUUGUUAUGUAUUUAGGGUCUAUUGUGAAUUGCAGAUAUUAAUUAGAUUGGGCCAAAUGAAAACUUAGUAACACUGUACUGCUGGACACUCAUUUUCGAUCUCCAAUAACAUAAACGCAAAUUAAAAAGGUCUGGUUACCCUGUGAUUAACAUUGAAACAUAACUUGUUGGCUCUUAGAGAUGAUCUUAAUGCUGAAAUAGUUAAUUAUUUUAAGCUUGUAGUGGAAAUGCUGUCAGGGCUUGGAGCAGUGAUUAGGCACCUGGUGGGAAGGCAGGGCUAACCCAGGGGAGCUCAGGUGCAUGCAAUAUACCUGAGUGACUGGAAGGGCUGGAGCCAGGAGGCACCCAUUUCCAGACCUUAUUUAAGGGUUGGCAGUGGAGGUGAGGCUAUCUUGAUGGAGAUCCUUGCAUACUUAAGGUCUUCUAAAGGUAAGCACUUAUUUUUUCUAUUCUUUGUUAUGUAUUUGCCCACUGCUAUUGCAUUUGAGUGAGCCCUUGCUUUUUGUGGCUUAGGAUCUUGCUUCUCUGCGGUCAUCGCUGUGCUUUCUAUUGCAUUACACUGCUGUAUGUUGUAUCAACUAGGUCAAGCAUUAAAAUGGACUAUAAAUGUAAGAACUAACAUGAAACACUCCUAAAAGUGAGCGGUCACACUGUGUGGCUUAAAGGAGCAAUAACUUAUCAGUUACAGCAAACAGCGAUGCACCUACAGUGAAACUUAUGCUUUAACAGUUCUAAUUUAUUUUUAUUAUCUGGUAGUCAGGAAGUCUGUAGAGUCUAUCCUGUUAAUGGUAAUAUUUUUUAUUUUCGAAUCAGUAAUAGCUCUUCUCUUCUUGUAUGCACAGUGUUAUGAGUUCCUUUCUUGACAUUUAACACGGUCCUUUCAUCAGUUUAAUGUCUUUUCUGCUUGUGUUUGGCAAUGUGUGUUCUGCUUUUCCACUGCAGGGCUUAGGGUGACGUAUAUGUUUUACCUCAGGAGAACACAGUAUUGUUACAUAACUGCCAUAUUUUCAAUGUCUUCUUUUACAUUGUGCUUCCUCAAUUGUAUGCUGAAAGUGAAAUUGUUUCUACGCAAGAAAUAUGAUAAACUACCUAUUCUUUCUGCCCUUGAGCCUCUAUAAGGGAUCUGUAUUAAAACAUCUUCUACCUAAGAGACUUCCUCAUCUCCUCUUUCAAAAAUUCUGAAUGGGCUUUCGAAUAAUUGUCUUCUGUCAAUGCUUAAAAAUUGUUGCUUCACCUCAACUGUUAAAUGCUGAAAUUGAAAACUUCCCCAUAAAUAUAUGUUCGUAGUUUGCCAAUGCAGCUAUGAGUGGUUAUUAAUUUCUUCCAUUCCCAUACUGCUAUCUUCUGAUGCAGUGCUUCACGCAAAACAAUGUGUGGAAAACAAUAAACAAGGGACCUUCUUUAAUACAAAUUCCUGGCAUUAAAUGAUAGCUUACCACUCUGAGAUCUGAUCUUGUAUGAAAAUUGCUUCUCACCCCACUACUUGAAGUGAUGGAGCCUAAGGAUAUUUGCAUCCUAACUUGUGUCUGAAUGUCAACAUAUUAUAGAAAGUGAAUAAAAUGUGAAUCAUUGCUUAGUAUGCAUAGGCUAUUUGACAUAGUUAGCAUACUGAUUUAAAAGCAGUGUUGGCUCUCUAGUUUUUAUUCUGCCCACCUCAUGCUCAGAUAGUCUGAGGGGAAAAAUAAAAUGUAUUUCUUGUGCGUUAAAUCAGGAGAGCUGCAGUUGAAAAAGAGUAUGCUGAAAGAACAAUGUCCUUCCCUAUGAAAAUGCACACAGUGCAUUGCAAAGUGUUGUCUCUUUGCUAGCCUGCAUAUUCUCUAAGCAGAGAUCAGCAGAUUUGGCUACAGAAAUCAGAUAGGAAAGAAUCAAAGCUAAGACAUCUUUCUGAAGUCCCAUGCGGAUCACCUGGGUUUUAUUUUCACCCCCAGAGAUCACCUCACCCACCUGUUUCUCUCAGAACUACAUUAUGCAGGGGAACACAGUUCCUCUUGUAAAUGCCUUUUGCUCUAAUUCUCAGCAAACACUUGCCUAAUCUUUCCCCUUUUUGAAUCUAAGUAAAAAAAAAAAGUCUUAAUUACUCAAAAUUCAUCUUCUGCAUCUCUUAAUAGAUGCUCAUAGCAGUCUGAAUCUCUUUGGGUUCCUAAGCAAGUGUACUAGUUUCUACUGAAUCUAAUAAGGUUUACAUUCCCUGACCCUUGCUUGCUUCUGGGGAUAUUACCAGCAGAAGAAGCAAUCAUUCAGUUGGCUUGGAAAACUGAAGUGCUCAGCUGAGCUGAUGAGAUGUUCCUAGAAAUUCCUGGAAGGGAGGAGAUGCUCAGAGUGCUCAGGGAGACUCAGAGUCAUAGCAAGGGCAGGGGGCAUUGGUGGAGAGAACACAGCAAAGGAGGGAGGAUGAUCAGAAAUCGAAGUGGUGCAUAAAAGCUGCUGUUAUGACAGUAAAAGCCCUAUUACCAGGCUCUGUGAAAUACUCCAGUGUUUGUGCUCAUGAUGCAAUCAAUCUCUUAUUUCCAUCAAAAUGAUAGAAUAAUCCAAAUAGGAAGAAUGCACUGCAUUGCACAGCACUGUUUAAUCAUGGGGUUGGUUGCAGGUAACACAGAAAGGAAAGGAGGAAGUGUUGAGAUCUGGGGUUUUCUUCAUAAUGGAGUUGGUGGUAUGGUAGUCACAACCACACACCUUAUCUUUAACCUUAAAUGAAAUGUUGCAAGAAGGACUUGGAAAGAAAGGAAGCAGGACUGCCCUGAGACUCAGCCACAGUUGGAUUUCUCUUGUGAACUGAGAAGGAAAUCAGUACUAGAAUAAUUGCUUGAUUAAUUAUGGCAUUGGUUACCCAAAUUCUUACGCAACCUCUGUCUAAGCACCCCAAGCUGAUCCCAGCUGUUCCUGCUCACCCUCUUGCUGGUGCCCUGUGUCAGUGGGAUUACAACUUAUGAGGGAGUUAUCAUCAGAGCUCCUGAGGACUUGCCCCUACUACUCUUUUGCAUUCUGCUCUCUUUAGUUUAAAUCUCUACAGGAAAUAAACUAGUUAGAAAGCAGUCUUAUCUCAUGGCUACAAAGUGAUUUAUGCUCUUUUGACACAGUAUUCUUCAUGUUCACUGUUAAAUUCCUGCAAAUUCUUAUAAGUUUGCAAGUCUAAGAAAUGGACAAAAAAUUGUAUCUGGGACAAAAAAAAAAAACAACCCAAAAUGUGAUAGACAAAGGAGUACAGAAAGCAACUCUCCCUUUAUACAAAAAGUCCUUGAAUCUUGGUGUAAAAGUUCUCAUGGCUGGCUGAGCUGCAAGCACCUCAAGCACUUCAUUCCACUGAGACUACCUGGCAGCUAACCAGACACAAGGCAUCAGGGAAGCCCUCAUUCUCCCUUCUGCUUAUGUUUUUCUUCCCGUCAAAACACAGCUUUGCUAUUUACGCCUGGAACUUUCCUUGACAUUUAGAACUGGCUGAAGCUGAGGUGUGGCAGUGAGCAUAUCACAGAUGCACAAAGAGAAAAGAGAUGCUGCCGUGUGGUUACAUAUCUACAGCUCAGUAUGCCUGGUGCUAAAAGCAGAGUUGUUCCCAAGCCGUAGGACUCCCUGUCUCUCUCUAGAAGCUAUUUUCAUUAUAGGCAAUACAGACCAUAAAAUGUUUUGUUUGCUUGCUUUUUAUUUUUUUAAAUCGUUAGUUCCUUUCUUUACUUUUAAAAUCUUUUGUAUAGUUAAUGACUUAUGUGCUGUUACAAUUUCGAGUUGCGUUUCCUUCACCAUAAUUUUCUGCAUUAGGAAGAGAAACUUUUAAUCUUUUAUUUUUAAUGAUGAUAAAAGAACAAGUUCUGCUUGGCUUGCCUUGGCACACUGUACAUUUUAAUGUAUAUUGAUUUGUAUAAAUGUCUCAUUUAGAGCAUAUUUUCGUUAGUAUUAAUGGUUCUUGGACAGUUAAGAUUAGCCCUCUUGUAAUACUGCCAAUCUCACUGGUCAAAGUUGAGGAACACAUUACUUUGUUUUGAGAUGAAAAAGGAAGACGAAGAGACAGCUGCUGAGGUUGGAAUAUCAAAGGAUCAAUGUCCUCAGUAGGAACAGAGAGCCAUGGUCUGCAGGAGAGCCACUGCAAAAUUCUUCCUUAUAUUGACUAGAAGUGGAAACUGUGUGCUUACUCUUACUAAUGAUUUCAGGAUUUUAUUAGGAAGAGAACUUAAGAAACAUUUUUUGAAGGUGAGCUGGAACCCAGUAGAACUUUGUUGCUAUCCAGAUAUCUGUAUAUAAUUUUUAACUAUGUUAAAUAAAGAAAACAGCUGUUCUCAUUUCCAA